rnacentral:lncRNA from 1 species
UCCAUCAUCCUUUUUUUUCCAUGCUUUAAAAGUCAUGCGGCCUAUUUAGCCUAUUUUUCUAGUGAUUGGGCCGAUCAAUUGGACCAGAUCCAGUUCAAAUUCAGACCUAUUUGGACCAAGAUAUUAUAAACUCCUUGAUAAUAAGUUGGCCGCAAUCAAAGAGAAAACUGGGAGACCAAGGCAAGGGCAAAGAUUGAGGCUGAG